ACGGCAGCACGGACUUCGGUCUGGUGGCGAGUGGCGAACGGGUGAGUAACAUAUCGGAACGUAUCCAAUAAUGGGGGAUAACUAAUCGAAAGGUUGGCUAAUACCGCAUACGCCCUACGGGGGAAAGCUAGGGACCUUCGGGCCUGGCGUUAAUGGAGCGGCCGAUAUCUGAUUAGCUAGUUGGUGGGGUAAAGGCUCACCAAGGCGACGAUCAGUAGCUGGUCUGAGAGGACGACCAGCCACACUGGAACUGAGACACGGUCCAGACUCCUACGGGAGGCAGCAGUGGGGAAUUUUGGACAAUGGGCGCAAGCCUGAUCCAGCCAUUCCGCGUGAGUGAAGAAGGCCUUCGGGUUGUAAAGCUCUUUCGCAAGGGAAGAAAACUUACCCUCUAACAUAGGGUGAGGUUGACGGUACCUUGAUAAGAAGCACCGGCUAACUCCGUGCCAGCAGCCGCGGUAAUACGGAGGGUGCAAGCGUUAAUCGGAAUUACUGGGCGUAAAGCGCGCGUAGGCGGUUUGUUAAGUGUGAUGUGAAAGCCCAGGGCUUAACCUUGGAACUGCAUCACAUACUGGCAGGCUAGAGUACGGUAGAGGGGGGUAGAAUUCCAGGUGUAGCGGUGAAAUGCGUAGAUAUCUGGAGGAACACCGGUGGCGAAGGCGGCGUCCUGGACCGGUAUUGACACUGAGGAGCGAAAGCCAGGGGAGCAAACGGGAUUAGAUACCCCGGUAGUCCUGGCCCUAAACGAUGAGUGCUUGGUGUGGCGGGUAUCGAUCCCCGCCGUGCCGGAGCUAACGCGUU
rnacentral:rRNA from 1 species